CCUACGGGGUGCAGCAGUGAGGAAUAUUGGUCAAUGGACGAGAGUCUGAACCAGCCAAGUAGCGUGAAGGAUGACUGCCCUAUGGGUUGUAAACUUCUUUUAUAUGGGAAUAAAAUGUUCCACGUGUGGGAUUUUGUAUGUACCAUAUGAAUAAGGAUCGGCUAACUCCGUGCCAGCAGCCGCGGUAAUACGGAGGAUCCGAGCGUUAUCCGGAUUUAUUGGGUUUAAAGGGAGCGUAGGUGGAUUGUUAAGUCAGUUGUGAAAGUUUGCGGCUCAACCGUAAAAUUGCAGUUGAAACUGGCAGUCUUGAGUACAGUAGAGGUGGGCGGAAUUCGUGGUGGAGCGGUGAAAUGCUUAGAUAUCACGAAGAACUCCGAUUGCGAAGGCAGUUCACUGGACUGCAACUGACACUGAGGCUCGAAAGUGUGGGUAUCAAACAGGAUUAGAUACCCCUGUAGUC
rnacentral:rRNA from 1 species